CAUAGAGGCAUGCACCUGUCAUCCCAGCUACUCGGGAGGCUGGGGUGGGAGGAUCACUUGAGCCCAGGAGGUAGAGGUUGCAGUGAGCCGAGAUUGUGCCAUUGCACUCCAGCCUGGGCGACAGAGUGAUACCCUGUCUCAAAACAAAAAGCAAAUAACAAAACAAUGCGUUAUUGUUAGCUAUAGUCACCCUACUAUACAAGAGUACCAGAACUUAGUCCUCCUAUUUAACUGUAACAUUGUACCCAUUGACCAACCUCCUUCCAUUUACACCUUCCUCCUAUUCUCCCCAGUCUCUGGUAACCACUAUUCUAUUCUCAAUUUCUAUGAGAUCAGUUUGGUUUAGAUUCAACAUACGAGUGAAUGAGGUCAUGUGUUGUCUGUCUUUCUGUUCUUGGCUUAUUUCAUUUAAUAUACUGUUUUCCAGGCUCAUCAAUGUUGUCGCAAUUGACAGGAUUUUAUUCCUUUUUAAUGCCUGAAUAGUAUUCCAUUGCUCAUACAUGCCACAUUUUCUUAGCCUGAAGAACAUCUUUUAGAAUUUCCAUUAAUGUGGAUCUUCUGGUGAUAUUAUCUCAGUUUUUGUUUGUCAUAAAAUUACUUCACCUACCUUUGUGGAGGAUAUAUUUGUUCAGUGUGGAGUUCCAUUGGUGAGUAUUUUCUUUCUGCGAUUUGAAUUAUUGUUUUAAUUAUCUGUUUUCUGCAUUCUAUCAUUUGUGUUGAGAAGCCACAUGACAGUCUCCUUUGAAGGUAAUUCAAACCUUUUCCCUGAAGGGAGAUGGAGGCAGGGAGUAGAUUAAAUACUCCAGUCCAGAAGAUUUCAUUAAUUAAUAUUAUCAAUUUAUACAAAUUCUUCCAGAGAAUAGAGGAAAAGGGAUCACGUCUUAGCUUAUUUAAUGAGGUGUAUGUGACCCUGAUAGCAGGAGGUCACAAAGAUAUCACAAGAAAGGGAAAAUUACAUGGUAACCUCACAUAUAUAUGUAAAAAUCUUACACAAAAUAUUAGAAGAUUUAAGUCCAGCCAUAUAUGAAAAGGAUACACAAUCGUGUAAUAUGGAACACUUUCCCCUUGAGAUUGGGAACAAAAUAAGAUAUCCACUAUUCCUGCAUGUAUUCAACAUUUUACUGGAUGAAACAUCUUAGUGCAAUAAGGCAAGAAGAUGAAAUGGAUGGGAGGAAGAUUGGAAAGGAAAAACGAAAACUGUCUAUGCAGAAGACCAUAAAAGAUAGAGAGAAAUUUUAAAAGAAAUAGGUAGAAGAAUGUACCAGGCUCAAUCCUUGGAAGAUUCACUAUAAUAAAGAUGUUAGCUGGGUGUGGUGGUUCACUCCUGUAAUCCCAGCACUUUGGGAGACUGAGGCGGGCGGAUCACGAGGUCAGGAGAUCGAGACCAUCCUGGCUAACACGGUGAAACCCCGUCUCUACUAAAAAAAUACAAAAAACUAGCCGGGCAUGGUGGCAGACGCCUGUAGUCCCAGCUACUCGGGAGGCUGAGGCAGGAGAAUGGCGUGAACCCGGGAGGCAGAGCUUGCAGUGAGCUGAGAUCCGGCCACUGCACUCCAGCCUGGGCGACAGAGCAAGAUUCCGUCUCAAAAAAAAAAAAAAAAAAAAAAA
ensembl:lncRNA